AAAUGACAACAUCGAUUUUAAGAUUUCUGAUCUUCUUUUAGAUUGAAGAACAUUGAUCUGAAGAACAUAAUCCAGAGCUAUGUGCCGAAAACAUUUCCGUGUUGCAGUCAAAAUAUUGGUUGCUUCCUCUACUUCAUGCUGCUUAUUCCUUUGAACUUGGGCAUUUUUUACUAGAGCAUUCUCUUUUUCUUCACUAACUUUUUCAAACUGCUUCUUUGCAUCUUUAAAUUUCUUAAUAUCUCUGCAACAAAGGAAGGAUAGAUGGCAAAUGAAUUCCAAAGCACGAAGUACGUGUUUAAAGAUUCACUGAACAGCCUGUGUUGUGACUGCUAGAGGUGGCUUCUUUGCUUUCGCAUUCUCAACAAAUGCUGAGAUCAAAUAAAGAAAUCAAAGUAUUACUGCAGCCUCUCUGUCCUCUUCCGAGUAAAGGAAAAAAUUGAAAUUUACAUCAAUGUAUCCCCUGCUCAGUGGGAAAAGCUCCUUUCUUCUAAGCUUGGAGAAUGACAACACAUAACUUAUGGUUAGUAAUUUCAACUAUUCCCAUUUAAACAUUUCUGCAGCUGAAACAAAAGCCUCUCAGAUUUUGAGUGAUUUCUGA
rnacentral:lncRNA from 1 species